UACGUAGGGUGCAAGCGUUGUCCGGAUUUAUUGGGCGUAAAGAGCUCGUAGGCGGUCUGUCGCGUCGGAUGUGAAAACCCAGGGCUCAACCCUGGGCCUGCAUUCGAUACGGGCAGACUAGAGUACGGCAGGGGAGACUGGAAUUCCUGGUGUAGCGGUGAAAUGCGCAGAUAUCAGGAGGAACACCGGUGGCGAAGGCGGGUCUCUGGGCAGUAACUGACGCUGAGGAGCGAAAGCGUGGGGAGCGAACAGG
rnacentral:rRNA from 1 species